ensembl:lncRNA
GUAAAAAGCAUUUAACUUCCCUUGACUUCUUGAUGUCUGUCAUAUUCACAAUNUGAUUACUAUAAACAAAUUAUCUACACAUCAUUUCUAUAGAAAUGAUUCUGUCCCAAGCUUUUUGAUCUAUAUAAGUGGUUGAUCACUGUAACCGUGAUCACUAUAAGCAGUUUCCACUGUAGUAGGAUCAUGCUCAGUGUCAGUGUCUGAUAUUCUACCACUUUGCUUUAAUCACAGAUCAAGUACAGCACCAGGCGGCUCGAUGGGUUUGGGCUCACAGACGGCGAAGGAAUGGAAAGGCUGUGGUCUUUCCUCCGAAGAUUUGCCAGAGUCACAAAGGAGAUGACUCCAUCUCACCGCGUUGACCUGUUGACUGAUGCCCGUUUGUAUUAUGGACAGAGGAAAUCAACUGACCUAGAGAUGCAGCUCCUGCAAAGACUAGACAAAGCAGAGAAAAUAUUGAUUCUCGCUCAAGAAGACAUCUCAUCUGUCAUCAGAGAGGCACCAGGUAAACAAUGCACAUAAGAAGCAGGUAACAAUAGAUUCCAUUUACAAGCGCAUUUUGCACUGAGUAUGUAGCAUUGAUGUUGUCUUGUUUCCUGUUAUUUUUGUUGUCUAGUGUUGGUUUCUGAGGGAGACAUGGAGAAAUGGAAGAAAAGGGAGAUGGAGCUAGCCCAACAGAAACAGAAACCAAUAAGUAAGCAACUGAAGUGAAUGUGUGAAUGUCUUGAAUACAUGUAAGAAGGUCAUGAAUAUUAUUAGUAAAGAAUAUUGCAAAUAUGUUAUACUAACCUUUCUGUGUACAGUAAUGAAAUACAAUCCUGUAAGCUAUGUGAAGAAGUAACAUGAAAUGAAGCACUUUAUUAGAGCAGUAGUAACUUUAUCUGUUCUCCAGACACUGUCUGUAGAUGGAAAAGGGACUACAUCAUCAGGCUGAUUCAGUUCUACAAAUUCAAGUAAGAGUUCAAUGUGUUUAUGUAAGACUGUAUGUUAAUUACAGCCAUCUUUAAGUGCCCUGCUGAUGUGCUUAUGAAAGCCUAGGUGUGAUUACAGUAACAGCAUAGUUUUGAAGGAAACUGUCACAAUGGUUACAAAUUAAGAGUUGCUAUAAUACUGCAGUAAUUUAAUAUGGUGUGAUUAGUAAUCAAUUACCACCAAGGCCUUCCUUAUAACAUAUACAAUGUUUGGUCAGGUGUACCACAGUAAUGGUUUCCGCUUUGUAGCUACUGAAUUUUUGUGCUGUUUUCUUUUCUUUUUUGUAUUGUAUAGAUCUGGGACUCGUGAGUCGUACAUGGAGUGUGAAACAGAGUAAGUAGCAAUCUGUCUGUUACUGUUCUCUGAUCAAGUGUGUAAAUAACAUUUAAUAAGAUAACUAACUAUUGUAGAUUCGAGGACUCUCUGCUGAACAUGAAGAAAAAACAAAGGAUUGGGAGAAGAUGGCAAGAAUCUGAUUCAGACUUCCAGUCUACCCUUAAAGAUGUUGACUGUGAACUCAGAGGCCAGCUGAUCUGCAAGGCUAGAACUGAAUCAAGGGAGAGAGCAGUCCUCCUCCACCUAAAAAGAAAAUACAUUAAGAUCCAACUUUGAAAAGGACCAUAAUACAAACUAAUAAAUUAAUUUCUCUGAAUGCA